UCCUUAGGUGAACCUGCGGAAGGAUCAUUA
rnacentral:ncRNA from 2 species